GCCUCUUUAGUUCAGUGGUAGAACGCAGCACUCGUAUGGGAACCGUCUCCAAAAGUACAUGCUGAGGUCAGUCGUUCAAUCCGGCUAGGAGGCA